rnacentral:rRNA from 1 species
UAGUCCACGCCGUAAACGAUGAAUACUAGGUGUCGGGGGUCGAACCUCGGUGCCGCAGCUAACGCAUUAAGUAUUCCGCCUGGGGAGUACGCACGCAAGUGUGAAACUCAAAGGAAUUGACGGGGACCCGCACAAGCAGCGGAGCAUGUGGUUUAAUUCGAAGCAACGCGAAGAACCUUACCAAAUCUUGACAUCCUAAUGAUCAUCGCUUAAUCGUGAUUUCCCUUCGGGGCAAUAGUGACAGGUGGUGCAUGGUUGUCGUCAGCUCGUGUCGUGAGAUGUUGGGUUAAGUCCCGCAACGAGCGCAACCCUUGUCUUUAGUUGUCAUCAAGUAAUGUUGGACCCUCUAAAGAGACUGCCGGUGAUAAACCGGGAGGAAGGUGGGGAUGACGUCAAAUCAUCAUGCCCCUUAUGAUUUGGGGCUACACACGUGCUACAAUGGUCGGUACAACAGGGCAGCGAAAGGGGUAACCUGGGAG